UACAGAGGGUGCGAGCGUUAAUCGGAAUUACUGGGCGUAAAGGGUGCGUAGGUGGAUAGUUAAGAUAGGUGUGAAAUCCCCGGGCUUAACCUGGGAAUGGCAUUUAAGACUGACUAUCUAGAGUUUGGGAGAGGGAAGUGGAAUUUCCGGUGUAGCGGUGAAAUGCGUAGAUAUCGGAAGGAACACCAGUGGCGAAGGCGGCUUCCUGGCCCGAUACUGACACUGAGGCACGAAAGCGUGGGGAGCGAAC
rnacentral:rRNA from 1 species